AUUGGAUCAAAGUAUGCGAAUCAUCCAGGCCAUGAUAGAUAUAUGUGCUAAUAGUGGGUGGAUUUCAAGCUCAAUUACUUGCAUGCAUCCUCUGCAAAUGGUCGUGCAGAUUUAUCUGGCCUGAGGAAGGGUUGGAUGUGAGUUAACCAGACCUUCAGAGACCCCUAAAGCAUGAGAAAUAUUUGCAACCUUAAGUUUUAAAUUCCGUGGCGAGAACUAUUUCAAAGAUAGCGAAAGUCAACUGCUCCGAACUACAAUCCAUAU